rnacentral:rRNA from 1 species
UACGGAGGGUGCAAGCGUUAUCCGGAUUCACUGGGUUUAAGGGGUGCGUAGGUUGAUUGGUAAGUCAGUGGUGAAAUACUCCGACUCAAUCGGAGAUCUGCCGUUGAUACUAUCAAUCUUGAAUAUGGUGGAGGCGGGCGGAAUGCGUCAUGUAGUGGUGAAAUACUUAGAUAUGACGCAGAACACCCAUUGCGAAGGCAGCUCGCUACGCCAUUAUUGACACUGAGGCACGAAAGCGUGGGGAUCAAACAGU